rnacentral:rRNA from 1 species
AUUGAACGCUGGCGGCAUGCUUUACACAUGCAAGUCGAACGGUAACAGGUUAAGCUGACGAGUGGCGAACGGGUGAGUAAUGCAUCGGAACGUGCCCGAUCGUGGGGGAUAACGCAGCGAAAGCUGCGCUAAUACCGCAUACGAUCUGAGGAUGAAAGCGGGGGACCGUAAGGCCUCGCGCGAUCGGAGCGGCCGAUGUCAGAUUAGGUAGUUGGUGGGGUAAAGGCUCACCAAGCCAACGAUCUGUAGCUGGUCUGUGAGGACGACCAGCCACACUGGGACUGAUGCACGGCCCAGGCUCCUACGGGAGGCAGCGGUGGGGAAUUUUGGACAAUGGGCGAAAGCCUGAUCCAGCAAUGCCGCGUGCAGGAAGAAGGCCUUCGGGUUGUAAACUGCUUUUGUACGGAGCGAAAAGGCCCUCUCUAAUACAGUGGGCUCAUGACGGUACCGUAAGAAUAAGCACCGGCUAACUACGUGCCAGCCGCCGCCGUAA